rnacentral:rRNA from 1 species
UGCAUGUCUAAGUACACGCCCCAGCAAGGCAAAACCGCGAAUGGCUCAUUAAAUCAGUKGUGGUUCCUUAGAUCUUACACAUUUACUUGGAUAACUGUGGUAAUUCUAGAGCUAAUACAUGCAGCUGAGCCCUCGACCUUUUUGGAAGAGGGUGCUUUUAUUAGACCAAGACCAGACGGGCUCGUCCCGAUAGUCGUGGUGACUCUGGAUAACUAUAGCGGAUCGUAUGGUCUAGCACCUACGACGCAUCUUUCAAGUGUCUGCCUUAUCAACUUUCGAUGGUAGGUUAUGCGCCUACCAUGGUUGUUACGGGUAACGGGGAAUCAGGGUUCGAUUCCGGAGAGGGAGCCUGAGAAACGGCUACCACAUCCAAGGAAGGCAGCAGGCGCGCAAAUUACCCACUCCCGGCACGGGGAGGUAGUGACGAAAAAUAACAAUACGGGACUCUAUCGAGGCCCCGUAAUUGGAAUGAGUACACUCUAAACCUUUUAACGAGGAUCUAUUGGAGGGCAAGUCUGGU